CAGAUUUAUUAGUUAAUUCAUGUUGGAUUACAGUUUUGCAUCUCUAACCUGAUUUUAGAUACAUACUAUGUGAAGAUUUUUUUGAAAGAAAUACAGUACUAGUUCUUUGCAGAGUCUGCAAUUGAUCUUUGGUGGGGAGAGUUGACCAAAAUGUACUGCAUUCUGCAAUAGUUGAAGUUUUAAUAUUUAACGUAGCUUGAAAGGUGGUUUUACAGAUCAUGCUCCUUCCUCUUUAUGGAAUGGCUUUCAAAGCCUUGUAUUGAUCUUGGUUGUGCCCAGUGCUUUGCCUAGUGUAUGGGGAAAUGUAGAACUUGAAUAGGCCAUGACUUCUUAGACAAGGGAUGAUGAUUAUGUGCAUGCUGAACAAGAACUUCUUCUAUAUGCCCUUCUGCUGCAACAGAAUAAUAAAACUGGUAGGUGGCAGCAGCAGCAGCAGCAGCAGCAGAAGACACUCAUGACUGUGACCUGAAAAACCUCCAGUACUGGGAGAAAUGGAUUGCAAAAUACUAACUGGAGUAAGGGGAAUGGAGAAGAGAGGCAGAGUCCCUGAACUGUCCCUUUGAAUGGAAUCUAAUGCUUGUGAAAGAUGCUGGAUCACCAGGUGCAGAGAUUGAACUCUACCCACUGGAAAGGUUUUUCUACAGCGACAGGAGGUCUUCCCUUGCAUCUCAUGGGAACACUUAGCGUUUUGAUAAUGCCUCCUUCACAAUGAAGGGAAGAAAGGAUGGAUCAGCAGGGAUGUGCAAUGGAGUGAUGUCCACACAUGGCAUUAACGGUCAUGAUCCCUGUCCUCACUUGGAGAAUUGAAUAAAAGAGUUGAAUUGUAAUUCA
rnacentral:lncRNA from 1 species